GCCACAUGGAGCUGGAACCAGAUCAGGCUUUAAUGUUUGAAGUAAUGUCAGUUCUGCUGUUCUGACUCUAG
ensembl:miRNA MIR6874 microRNA 6874